rnacentral:rRNA from 2 species
GUGCGAGACCGAUAGCGAACAAGUACCGUGAGGGAAAGAUGAAAAGAACUUUGAAAAGAGAGUUAAAGAGUACCUGAAACUGCUGAAAGGGAACCGAGUCGUAUCUAGUGUCUAUAAUCUGUGGCAUAUUCCACUGCUGUGCGGAUGCGUGCGGUGUUUUGGAAACCCUUUGCGCUCCUAAUACUGUUGUGCGUUAGCUUGGCGGUGCUCUGUGUCAUGGUGGGACGUCAAAGUCAGUUCGUAUGCUGCGGGAAAUGGCUGCCGGGAAGGUAGGUCACUUCGGUGACUGUUUAUAGCCUGGCGUGCUAGUAGUCGUGGUUGGGACUGAGGUGCCUU